rnacentral:lncRNA from 1 species
UAAAGACCAAAAUAUUUAAAAUGGCAUCUAGUGCUUGUCCUAGUGUAUCUCGGGCUUAACUUUCAGCCCUUAUUUCAUAUAGGUCUCUUGAGCACAGCUUUGUUCAGGAUAUUUCCAUGUCUGUUGCAGGGCAUGGUACCUAAGAAAUACAAAAAAGAGUUCUUAUCUGUCCCAUCACUUGUGCUUCUAAGGAAUCAUGUUCUUUUUUGCUCCUGUGGCUUUUCCCUCCAUCUAAUGCUCCUGCAACUUUUCUUCCUUCCCAUCCUCUUGACUUUCUAGGUUUUACUAUGGAGGACCUCUCCUAGGGAGNNNNNNNNNNCAAUGCCCAAGCCCUCCCCAACAAGGUGCUUUUCCACGUUAUUUCUGUAACUCCACUGUAGCACUUAGUCUGUAUUACAGUUCAGUUUAAUUGCCUGUCUCUCUUAGAUUAUGAGAAUAUUUGUUUUAUUUUUCAUCUUUACAUGCCAUGUCUAGCAAUUUAGCAGGUACAGAAUGAGCAUAAUUUUUGGAUAAGGUACAAUUUUAUAUCUUUUUCCCCUUGCUUUUUAGGAUGAACAGGUAUAGUCUGGAAACCUCAGAGCAGUCAUGCUGAGUAUGAACUAUUGUCUAAAAAACAUUCACUUUCCCCUCCCACCCCAGGAAGACACUGCUAAUGCUCUCUAUGACAUCUACCAUGAUAAACCAGGAGAAAUAAAAAUUAUGCCUUUGCUAUGAGUCUGCAUGAUCCCAGUUCCUGGAGAGUUUCUAUGAGACAGGAUGCUUCUGAUUCAGUCUCCUGGCUCCCUUACUCAACUCUACCUCAUGGUAAGAAGGACAAUUUGUCUGCUUAUAUUUUCUUCUGUGCUUCAGUUAAAUUUAGUGCAAAAGAUGAUGUAUCCCUUCCAUUUGCUGUAUUUUAAUGUGAUCAUUGAGCGCUCUGCUUUAGCACCUUGCAUAAUGAAUGUCUCAUUGGCAUACUGCUUAAGCAUCAUGAAACCAGAGCAGAUUCCCUAUUUGACUAGGAGGGCCUCCUUAACGCCAUAACAAAUCAACAUGGAAGUAACAGGAAAAGGAAGCACGAGGCCAGGAGAAUUCGUGCAGAGAUGCACUCUCCAUGAGAAGAUCUGGGCAAAUCUAAAAUAAAGAGCUCUUAAUUAAAUUCACAGAAAUGAACGUCUAUCUCAUUACACUGAAUCUUCCCCCAUCCCCAUCCUUAGUUUUAAAAUAAGCUAGCUAUCCCUUGGAGCUUCCCUCCUCACCUUCAAUGCGUUAGACACAGGAGACAUGGGUUUGAUCCCUGGGUCAAGAAGAUCUCUUGGAGGAGGGCAUGGCAACCCACUCCAGUAGUCUUGCCUGGAGAAUUCNNNNNNNNNNNNNNNNNNNNNNNNNNNNNNNNNNNNNNNNNNNNNNNNNNNNNNNNNNNNNNNNNNNNNNNNNNNNNNNNNNNNNNNNNNNNNNNNNNNAACCCACUCCAGUAGUCUUGCCUGGAGAAUUCCAUGGACAGAGGAGUCUGACGUGCUACCGCCCAUGGGGUUGCAAAGAGUCAGAUACAACUGAAGUGACUGAUCACCCAUGCACAGCUAUUGCUCAUGGACCUAACUAAUUACACAAUUAGCUUCUGAGAUAGUGCUCAAACAUAUCAAGAAUAAACAAAUAAAAAGAGAGUAAAAGAAUAAAUGCUGGGAAAGAUUGAAGACCAGAGGACAAGGGGGUGACAGAGGAUGAGAUGGUUGGAUAGCAUCACCGACUCAACUCAAUGAACAUGAGUUUAAGCAAACUUAGGAAGAUAGUGAAGGACGGGGAAGCCUGGUGUGCCGCAGUCCAUGGGGUCACUGGACGUGGACAUGACUUGGUAACUGAACUAUAAAAACAAAGGAAUAAAAGAAUCAUUAACACACAAGCACCAACACAUAGAGGAAAAACUUAAUGUCGAUAUGAAAUAGCAAACAUUCCAGGGGAAAAAUGAGCAAACAGAACAAAUAGGGACUUUUCAAAAGAAGAAAGGCUUAUCAUAGCUAAUGCACAUGGAAGAAAAUGUUUAAGUUUAAUCUCAUUGGGAAUCUGAGAAGUGCAAAUGAGGAAAAAAAAGAAUGAGAUGCCAUUUCUCGCCCACCAGAUUGGUAAAAAUUAAAGUGUCUUAUCAUAUUGUGUGUUUAUGAGAAUUUAGUGAAGCAAAAGCUCUCAUAUACAGCUGGUGGGAAUUAGUACAAACAUUGUGGAAGUCAUUUGGCAGCAUUCAUGAAAAUGAAAAAUGUGCAUUCUCUAUGGCCCAGGAGGAGUUCUCCUCCCCGGUCUCCAGUGCAGAGAAACUGUCACUCCUAUGCUCCAGAAGGCAAGCGCUGCAAUGUUGUUGGACAUAUAAAAUAGUCUAUAAAAUAAUCUAACAUGGUUAGAUAUUCUAUAAUAUGUUCACUCUAUAGUGAUUUUCACACAUACUACCAUUUGACGCUGCAAAUCUCUACGUUUAAGACCUGGGUAUUAUGAUUACUAUUCCAUGACACAGUCCAAUUUUAGACCAUAGUAUAAUAUUUACCAAUACAAAACAGCAUAUAGCUGAGAACAAUGGUUUUGGAAACCCACUAUACAUACCAUAUGUCAUAUAUUUUCAUCUAAAGCAGCUACGAUCAUGCUUGCAUGGGUACUAAGUCGCUUCAGUCAUAUUUGACUCUUUAUGACCCCAUGGGCUGUAACCAAGCAGGUUCUUCUGUUCCUGGGGAUUCUCCAGGCAGGAAUACUGGAAUGGGUUGCCUUGCCCUCCUCCAGGGGAUCUGAACCCACGUCUCUUACGUCUCCUUCAUUGACAGGUGGGUUCUUUACCACUAGCACCACCUGACUAUGUUUACUCUUGCUGAAAAUCUUAUUCUAAACAUCUCACAUAACCCUUGGUUGCAAUCUGAAAUGCGUUCUGCAUUUCCCAACUUUGGUCACUUCAAAAGUAACGCCAGUGUAGUCUAUGAUAAUAAAUUCUUUGGAAAAAUCAUCCUUGAGUUCAGAAUUUACACGUAUGGAAUUCAUUCUCUUCAGAAGUAAGAACUGGGUCACACUGUUUAACCUUAUAUGGAGCAUCAGCUAGGGCAGAGUUAAACUCAUGGCGAAAGUAUCUCUGUCCUGCUUUAAAGUUCUAAAACAGAUUUACAAUUGAUUCGCAUCAAUUUACAGUGGAUUCUGCAUCCAUGAAUUCAACCAAACACAGAUGGAAAAUAUGCACACACACAAAAAAAUUCCAGAAAGUUCCAAAAAGCAAGAUUUGAAUUUUCUAUGCUGCCAGCUAUAUACAUAUCAAUUAUAUUAGGUAUUGCAAGUAAUCUAGGAGUGAUUUAAAGUAUAUGGAGGAUGUGCAAAGGUUGCACAUAAAUGCUAUGCUAUUUUAUAUAAGGGACUUGAUCAUCAUCAGAUUUGGGUACCCAAGUAGGGGUCCUAGAACCAACCCCCACAGAUACUGAGGGGCAACUAUAUUUCAUUAUCUGAACUAGUCAUGGUCCCACAAUGAAAGACUGA